rnacentral:misc_RNA from 1 species
ACUGAGCUUCCCAACAAGUUGUCGUUCCAUUUUUCAGCAUUGUGAGUGAUGUGUAUUGUCAGCAGAACGAUGUUCCGGGUUGAAAUGAAUUUUUCUCGUUCCGAGGAGUAUUUUGUAGCGCUGGAAACUUUGUGAAUCGGCGGACGACGACUAGUCAGAACCACCCGGUAGCGGCCAUUUUGCGUGGCGGUAAACUACAUCAAUUGAAUUUGCAGCCCUUAAGAAUCAUUAAUUGCCAUCUCGCGCGUACAAAGCCUGAAUAAACUCCAAAGAUACUCGGUGAAUAUUUUCCUUCGCUCCUAAUAGCUUCGCAAUGAUCUCAUCGUCUUUAUCAAAUUCAAAAUCAGCGACGGUGGCGCGUUCUUCAUGCAACUAGCCUUUGUUUAUCGACGGCAGUCGGUUGUUUCUGACUGCAACCAUUAACAAUUGCCACAACUUCCGUUAUGUGCACAUUAUUCCGUUAUGUGCUGCUCUCUGAUGGCGGGUAAAGCGAGUUUUCAACAACCGCAGUACCGUUAUUCAAGCAAAGAAGCGAGCGUUGAACCAUUCGGGCACCUGUACGAUUGGCCCACGUUCCGCAUUCUUUGAAAUGACCAGUAAUCCAGCGGUGUUUUCGGUGUCAACGUGUCAUCACGAAAUAAAAUCGUCCGUUCUACGAUGUAAUUUCACGUAAAAAUGCAAUAAUUAAAAAAAAACUACCGAACCAACGUAGAUUUUGAAUAGUAGUAGCGAUUCGAUUGGAUCAUACAACUACAGCUGCGUUUGAAUUGAAAUAAAAUAUUACAAAUCGAGCGAUCUACGAACUUCUUAACGGUACUUCUUUUACCGGGGAACAUUAUGCGAAGUGUUUUUAUAAUUGUUCGUCAAUUUAUAAAUAAUUAGAAGUACAAAAGCAAGAAAAAUCGAGGAGACUGCAAGUGCAGGGAGUUCAAUACCGAGGGAGCAGUAAAUUCCAAUUGAUGAUAAGUAUAAAUAAAUAAAGUUGAACUCUUCUACGACUUUUCAAAUCAUAUGCAAACGUAAAGGACACUUAGAUGACGUAAUUCUUGCGGCUAUAAUAAACGCGAAUGUCGAUAGAGAUAAGGUAAAAUAAUGCGAACGGGGCUGUGACGAUAUCACACGAGUAAAAAGAACUGUCGAUGAUAUUGCAAGUAGAAGUUCUGAAAUAAGUGGCUUGAAACGUUGUCGCGAAAAAAUGAUGGCUACGGCGAAUGGCACGAGGGUUGAAAAACAGGGUAAAGUAGUCCAGGGGACGAAAUCAAAGUUCUGGGCUUACGUCCUGUGGCUGUUUGGUGGAAUUUUUGGGGCCCAUCAUUUUUACCUGGGUAGGGACGACCACGGUUUCCUUUGGUGGUGUUCAUUGGGAGGAUAUUUCGGUGCAGGAUGGCUGAGGGACCUUUUCAGAAUACCGACUUACGUUGCGGACGCAAACAAUGAACCGGAGUACCUGGAACGGUUCAAAAACCAAGUUCGAGCCAACAAAAAGCCGUCGUUUUCCUCCAUCCGAUUUAUCGGAGCGGUCGUGAUUUCUUAUCUAUGGGGUCAGCUCGUGUACAUGGCGAUACCGGAGGACGAAAUCUAUGGACUCAAUUUCAAACCUCUGAUGAUCCUCAUACCAGCGGCUGUCGCACUGGGGGUUUGGGUUGUGGGGAACGUCGGCCGAGAGGAGGGUUCUAUUUGGGUAGCUCUAGUCUCCGCGUACGCGUGCUAUCCAACACUCGCAUACCUGGGAGAUGACAGCACGUGGAUGUCGGUGAUGGUACUGACGUCGGCGAUAUCAUUCGAUACGUGGAGCAAACGGUGGCGAUUGAAGCCCAAGAAAAAACGGGGGAUCCUGCGUAGGAUAUCGGCUAUUAGUCUCGCGGCGCUCCUUUACUCUUCGCUUUGGGGGAGCUAUUUCUACUUCAACGCGAGACUCACCGACAGCGAGGGCGAGGAAAUAAAAAUGUCCGACGCCAUCAAACAUUUCCUCACCUCGCCGAUUUGGCUGGAUCUCAAGGCAAGCUUGCACGACACUUGGAGGCACGCUAAGCACCAAGGGUUCUGGGCUACGUGGAGACAAUUGGUCGACUUGACUGAUCCGAGGGGUGAGAUAAACGCGUACAGGGUGUUGGGCCUGUCGCAAACCGCCUCUCAAAGCGAGGUGACGGCGAAGUGGAGGAGCUUAUCGAGGGAAAAUCACCCCGACAAAGUCAAGGGGUCCGAAGACGAGAGGAAGGCGGCGCAGGAUAAAUUUAUGGAAAUACAACAGGCCUACGAAAUUUUGUCCAGCGCUAAAAAUAGGAGACAAAGCAAGAACAGAAAGGCGGCUUAAGAGGCGACCGUCUUUUUACCGAGACGCUGCCGUGCUGAAAAUUUUUGAAACUCGGAUGUGGUGAAAAUCGGAGC